GUCAUGUGAUGUGAUCCUCCUCACUGUAUAACGGGCAGUUGCUGCUCGAGCUUUGCAUGGGGUCUAAAAACUGUGUUCUAGUGCAGGACAUGAGGAUCAACAACACGCCGAAUCUAAGGUUUCUCCGGUAACCGGUCCUGAGGAAAAACCUCAGGUCUGUACUCGUGUAUGUACACGAUGCGACAAAUAUGCGGCCUCCUCAUCACACUUUUGUUUGCUGAGACAGUUGCUGAAAAAAAGUACUGUUGGUACUUUGAAGGAGAUUAUCCUGUGUAUUUCAUAUGCAAGGCAUAUGAGGACUGCUGUGGCACAGAAUGCUGCGUUCGAGCUCUUGCUGUUCAAAGAAUAUGGUAUUUCUGGUUACUGCUGAUUAUUGCCAUUUUAUGCUGCUGCAGCACUGGCUACUUCAUCCGCAGAAGGGCUCACCCUUACCCUCCAUCCGACAGGCCUGAGUUUACUGUAGCCUUCAGCAGAAACCCUAUCAUAACACCUGGCCUGCGUCAGACUGGCUUUCACAGUUAUGGAGACUCAGAAACCGCAGUCAUUUCCACUGUCUUCCCUGCAGUGAGUGCGCUUUCCUACUACAGCCAGGGUCCUCAUCCUCAUCAUCCUCCUCCUUCAUAUGAGCAGGUCAUGCAGGACUCACAGAAAAAAUAGAAAUAUCAGCAGGAGAACACUGAGUCCUGAGGAUCAACCCUACAGCACUGUGACCUUUACUUACAGCCUUCAAGACACUGACACAGCUCAACAGCUCAGACAAGACUGGAGGAAACAAACUGGAACAAAUGUACAAGAAGCGGGUAGAUUCUGAAGUGUUUCGAAAGAAAAAUAAUUGAGUUGGUUGACUUCCAAUGCACCUCGACCCCUUGAGAUGCCUGCAAAACCUGAACAGCAACUGGGACGCUCAACACAGAGUGACAACAGCAGUGAUUUCAUUGUGUGGAGCUGAUAAUGUAAACGCAGUUAAGUGCUCAGCAAUUUAGUGAAAUAUUGAUAGAAUUUAUUAGCAUUUAAUGUAGCCCUUCCUUUAUUAGUAUAUUUAAAAAUGUUAUUUGUUUCAGAGGUUAACAUUUUAGUAUCAUUGUCACAUGAACAUAAAAUCAUGGUACACUGUAAAAAAAUGAUCCGAAUAGUGUUAGGACAACAUGAAGGACUUAAGUUA